AUCUUAGAUCAACGAACCACGAUUAAUUCCCCACUUUUAAUUUUUCUCCCCCAUCUAAACCCCUAGAGACUCAUUUGUCUCUUUACAACUGCCCACUCUCUCGAACCUUCCCCCUUCUUCUACGAACCCUAGCCAUUGCAUCUCUCAACCUCUCAAAAUACAGCUCUAAAAUGAAAUCAAUCACUGAUUCACUUACCGUAUUGGUCUCCUAUGACUACUCGUCGUCCAUUUGUGGUGUUACGUAGGUGCUUGCCUAAGUUUGGAAAGUGAGAUCUUCUGAUCAGGCUAAAAAGGGCUUGAACCUCUGAUUUGAGCAUUAUCUCAUCUAUAUACACUCAAUACAAUGCUAUAUGAGUCCUUUUUCAAUGAGAUCUCUAUUGAUAUGUGUUCUCCCUCUUGAACUAGGGUUUACUCGUUUCUCUCCUAAAUUGAUUCUGAAUCGAUUUUGCAUGCUUUCUUUAUUUUAGAUUUUAUUUACUUUUUUCAUUAUUUAUUCGUCCAAUUUUACUACUAUAGAAUCCCCUUCUCAUACCCCCAUUGAAAGAGACCAGAAUCGAUAUAUUUUUACUAAAACUUGGAGCUUUGUUAUGUGAUUCCCCCAUUCUCUUGUUCUGUACUUUGUUUUUGGCCAGCUGACUGAGAUUUUAUUAAUUAAACUUUCUCUUGGUGCGUAUUAUUGUCCGGAGUUCUUUGAAGCUCUUUAAAACUUUGACGCAUUGAGAUUCUGGGUUCUUGUGCAAUUUUUGUUCUUUACUAUUGUCCGUAUAACUAGUAAGUCGCUUGACCUUUUACAAUCUCAUUUUUAUAUAUCUCUGAUUAGCAUAUGCUCUCACUUCUCUAUGGCUUAAUGUGAUUCUGGGCUACUUUUAUACACAGCUCUGUUAGCUUAGACUCAUUUUAGCCUCUUUAGCACUUCACUUCCCCUAAUGCUGCUAGUUAUGAAAUUAUUCAUGGGUAACUUGGACAAUCUGAAUCCUCCUAAGCUCGUUUAGCUAGUGUAUUGGGCCUAAAUGUUCAUUAAUAUUCUUAUCUUCUUUGCCUUCAAUAUUUGUAAUGAAUGUCUCACAUCUAUAAUAACACGUGUUAAGGCCUUCACUUGUUUCUUCAUUCUUGUGUCACUCAGCAUAUUCCCUUGAUCCCAUACCCCUCUAGCGAUUACUUGAGUUUUUUAUAACAAUUAUCUCAACUUGUGUCUUCCUUACCAUGUUUGAAUGUUUUUGUCGAAUCUUUGGCAUAAUUUUGGAUUUUCUUUAAUUAAUUAGUCCACGGGUCAAUACCUAAAUGCAUACCUUUGCUAUUUGAUAUGAGUUUACUAUCCCACUCUAAUCUGAAUCUUUGUAAUUUUUUUCUCUCAUAUAUAAUAUGUUCUAAUCUGUGUUUAGACCUUUUCUAUCAACUAGGAUCUUGCUUCCAUGCUAAUAUGUCCCUCAACAUGUAUUUGGCUCAUUGGAUUCCCUAUUCCUUCAAUGAUUAUUUGACUGAUCAUAAUGUUUGUUCCCCUAUGAUGUCUAAAUAUUAUUUAUUUUCCUGAUGAUCAUUAACAUGUCUGUCUUAUGACACUAGGAUGUACUCUUAGUAUUAUUUGGACCUUUUAGGUUUCAACUUGAUUAGUAUUAUGCAUCUAUGUAUGAUCUUUGUCUAUCCUACAAACUUCUUUUUUUCCCUAACUCUUUCAAUAUGUGACUGUCUAUGUGUUAUUUUGCUAAGUGUUGAACCUGCUUCUAAGUCCAUGCUGAACCUACUUUAAUGUUUUAUGACCUAUUUGAUUAGUUGCUUUAUGUUUCUCAACCUUUCUAUGUCUAAUUUAAGUUAUAAGUGCAUCCCCUCAACUUCUAUUCAACCAUUGUCCACUCUCCCUUAUUUGAUACUUAUGCUAUGAUGAACCUCUCAUUCUUAGCUGGCUGAAAGCCAAGGUUAUCAAGGCUCUUGUUACUGACCUCCUUAGUAUGAGCACUUCUUGGGGUCAAUUUGAUACUUGUGAACUCUGACACACAAGGAUUUGGGUUUUUAGUCACUCCACCUACUAUUGAAACCUGAAUUAUCCAAUUCCCUCUUCAUAUUAUUUAAUAAACAUGUAAGCUGGUUAGUUUAAGUGCUUUAAUGCCUGUGUAAUGUGGUUGAUCUAUGGUUGUGUGAUUUGUCUUUGAGCUCUUCUAUGGAUUAUGAGUUGUUUUGAGGAAUAUGGUUCCUUAUUUAAAAUGUGGGUAUACCACGAGAGAAUUGUUAAAGGCUAAGACAAUGUUGGGUAUUUCUUUUGGGCCUGCUGUGGGCCUACUAUCAUUAUUUGUACAAUAUUUGUAAUUACUUUAUCAUUGGUUUUGUUAUCACUUUGUAAUAAAUUAUUGGGUGUUAGUAAAAAUGGGGAAUGGUAGAUUCUUAAUGUUUGCAUGAAAAUGAGUAGACAAUAGGCAUAUAGAACUCAAUAAUUUACUUGAUAUAUAUGCCGUAUGUGAACUGUAGAAAUCAUGCCAUUAAAAGAAACAUACACUCACACUACUUUUCUAAACACGAAUUCAAAUGUCCCAAUUAUUCUUACAGCUAAUUGUUACUAGAAAACAUGCCUAUAGAAAAUAAAUAUUACCAAACUUUCUUUCAAUUCGCACCAGUAUAUUCACUAGAAAUCAUGCCUACAGGAUUCUGAUUUCUUCAUUUGCUACUGUAUCGCAGUGUUCACUAAUAAUCUUGCCUAUUGGAUUUUGAUCACUUCUUUUGACAUUGUAUCACACUAUUUCUAGUAAACAUUCCUAUAGGACUAAGUAAAAAAAUAAAAUCGAUUCGAAGUGUUAAUCGUAAGAGAUCAUGUCUAUAGGAUAUCACUAUUCGCCUUAAUAAUUGUUCAUGUUAAACCUCUCAAACAUUGUUUACAACUUGUUUAUGCCGCCAACAGCAAGCAUAGUUAAUUCUGGGAUUCUCCUAAUAGUUUUCAUUACUACGUAUUGUGUAAUUCAUCUAGACACAAUAAGUUUAAUAACUAGAAACUUGUAACCCCAAGAAUCAGCAUGUAUAAUCCUAUCUAUGAGCAGCGCUUAGCUUCUGAAACUGCUUGUAUGUCUUAAUGCAUUGUCACAUAGAAAUCAUGUUUAUAGAGCUUAAGAUUCUUAACUCUGAAUUGCGUAACAUGAAAACAUGUCUCGCAUGCAUGUGUUGCUUAAGCGUGGAGGCAAACUUCAGCCCUUAACUGCCAUAUUUGAAGUCCAAUGUGUAUUUUGUAUGUCACCUAGUUUUGACAUUUCUGAGCAGCCUAAAUAAGGUCUUGAACCACCCAAGUAGAUGUCCAAUACAUCCUGGACCAAAGGGAUGGGACGGGUAGUACAUGCAUAGAUCAUGACUUAGAACUGAAUUAGUUCCAUUCAGGCAAAUAACUUUAACAUGGUAAUCGGGUAGCAGGAGAUGAUAGUAUGUGGCCGCUGAAUAAUAUGAGUAACUCUCUAUCUCAAGUAAGUUGCAAAGUAAUAUUUAUAUUACAUAGGGUAAUCCUUCAGGCUAAAAAUCUUACCCCCCAACAUGUU
rnacentral:lncRNA from 1 species